UAGCCAGUACUUCGGUACUGGCAUGAAAAUACGGAUUUUUUGUGUUAUUAAAAUUUUCUGUUACAAAAUGAUGGAAAUUAUUAUAAAUUAAGGAAUGUAUCUCCCUCAUGCAAAGCUCUGAUUCCUUUCACGGAUUUGGCUAUACUUUUUGGACCUUUUGGAUUAUAGCUCUGCAUCUUUUAUAUAAGCUUUGGAUUUCAAAUAUUUUGGCCACGAGCAUCACUGAAGAGACAUGUAUUGUCGAAAUGCGCAUCUGGUGCAACAAAAUUGGUACCGUUAAUUUUAUUUUUAU
rnacentral:lncRNA from 1 species